rnacentral:rRNA from 1 species
AGCGAACGCUGGCGGCAGGCUUAACACAUGCAAGUCGAGCGGGCAUCUUCGGAUGUCAGCGGCAGACGGGUGAGUAACACGUGGGAACGUACCCUUCGGUUCGGAACAACUCUGGGAAACUGGAGCUAAUACCGGAUACGCCCUUAUGGGGAAAGGUUUACUGCCGAAGGAUCGGCCCGCGUCUGAUUAGCUAGUUGGUGGGGUAACGGCCUACCAAGGCGACGAUCAGUAGCUGGUCUGAGAGGAUGAUCAGCCACACUGGGACUGAGGCACGGCCCAGACUCCUACGGGAGGCAGCAGUGGGGAAUAUUGGACAAUGGGCGCAAGCCUGAUCCAGCCAUGCCGCGUGAGUGAUGAAGGCCUUAGGGUUGUAAAGCUCUUUUGUCCGGGACGAUAAUGACGGUACCGGAAGAAUAAGCCCCGGCUAACUUCGUA